GGANUUGCGNAUGGGCGAAGCCUGACGCAGCAACGCCGCGUGAGGGAUGAAGGCCUUCGGGUUGUAAACCUCUUUCGAGCAGGGACGAUAGUGACGGUACCUGCAGAAGAAGCUCCGGCCAACUACGUGCCAGCAGCCGCGGUGAUACGUAGGGAGCGAGCGUUGUCCGGAUUCAUUGGGCGUAAAGAGCUCGUAGGCGGCUCAGUAAGUCAGGUGUGAAAUCCCCAGGCUCAACCUGGGAUCGCCAUCUGAUACUGCUGUGGCUAGAGCCCGGUAGGGGCGCACGGAAUUCCUGGUGUAGCGGUGAAAUGCGCAGAUAUCAGGAGGAACACCGGUGGCGAAGGCGGUGCGCUGGGCCGGAGCUGACGCUGAGGAGCGAAAGCGUGGGGAGCGAACAGGAUUAGAUACCCUGGUAGUCCACGCCGUAAACGUUGGGCACUAGGUGUGGGGCCUUGUCAACGGGUUCCGUGCCGUAGCUAACGCAUUAAGUGCCCCGCCUGGGGAGUACGGCCGCAAGGCUAAAACUCAAAGAAAUUGACGGA
rnacentral:rRNA from 1 species